rnacentral:misc_RNA from 1 species
AAGUCGUAACAAGGUUUCCGUAGGUGAACCUGCGGAAGGAUCAUUAUUGAAUAACUUGUAAUGUUGUGCUGGCCUUUCGGGGCAUGUGCACGCAUUGCUUUUUAUUAUAAUCUUUUUGUGAACCAGUGUAGGCUUGCUUAGCCCGAAAGGGUGCUCAACCUUGAAGCAAUUCAAGGCUUGGAUGGAGGGAUUAGCUUCAUUGCUUCUCCUUCAAUUAGCAGGCCUAUGAUUUAUAAACUUUUGUAUGUCUUGAAUGUUAUCUUUGCUUGACCUUCGUGUCAGUAAAAUUAUACAACUUUCAGCAACGGAUCUCUUGGCUCUC